rnacentral:rRNA from 1 species
CAUCAGCCACGGGAAUACAGAGGGUGCGAGCGUUAAUCGGAUUUACUGGGCGUAAAGCGUGCGUAGGCGGCUAAUUGAGUCGGAUGUGAAAUCCCCGAGCUUAACUUGGGAAUUGCAUUCGAUACUGGUUAGCUAGAGUGUGGGAGAGGAUGGUAGAAUUCCAGGUGUAGCGGUGAAAUGCGUAGAGAUCUGGAGGAAUACCGAUGGCGAAGGCAGCCAUCUGGCCUAACACUGACGCUGAGGUACGAAAGCAUGGGGAGCAAACAGGAUUAGAUACCCGCGUAGUCCCUGUCUCUUAUAC